CUCGUAGGCGGCUCAGUAAGUCGGGUGUGAAACCCUCAGGCUCAACCUGGGGACGCCACUCGAUACUGCUGUGGCUAGAGUCCAGUAGGGGAGUGUGGAAUUCCCGGUGUAGCGGUGAAAUGCGCAGAUAUCGGGAGGAACACCAGCGGCGAAGGCGGCACUCUGGGCUGGAACUGACGCUGAGGAGCGAAAGCGUGGGUAGCAAACA
rnacentral:rRNA from 1 species